rnacentral:tRNA from 1 species
UCCGGGGUCGUUCAGUAGGUAGGACAACGGAUUUUGGUUCCGUGAACAGGGGUUCGAUUCCUCUCCCCGGAG